AGCAGCCGCGGUAAUUCCAGCUCCAAUAGCGUAUAUUAAAGUUGUUGCAGUUAAAAAGCUCGUAGUUGAAUUUCAGGCCUGGCUGGACGGUCCGCCCUUCGGGUGAGUACUGUCUGUGGUCGGGUCCUACCUUCUGGCGAAGCGUCAUGGCCUUAACCGGCCGUGGCGGGGAACCAGGACUUUUACUGUGAAAAAAUUAGAGUGUUCAAAGCAGGCAAUCGCUUGGAUACAUUAGCAUGGAAUAAUGGAAUAGGACGAUGGUUCUAUUUGUUGGUUUCUAGGACCGUUGUAAUGAUUAAUAGGGAUAGUUGGGGGCAUUAGUAUUCAAUUGUCAGAGGUGAAAUUCUUGGAUUUAUUGAAGACUAACUACUGCGAAAGCAUUUGCCAAGGAUGUUUUCAUUAAUCAAGAACGAAAGUUAGGGGAUCGAAGACGAUCAGAUACCGUCGUAGUCUUAACCAUAAACUAUGCCGACUAGGAAUCGGGGCGAUGUUGACAAAAUGACGCGCUCGGCACCUCAU
rnacentral:rRNA from 1 species